GCAUAGGGUGGAUGCCAAGAACACCUGAAGGAAUAGUCAUGCCCAUGAUUCUGCGGGUGCGCUUAGUCGCAUAGCUGAAGUAGUAAGUGUUUGGGAACGUCUGGAGAUUGGAGUUGAGACUUGUGGAGCCUUGGAUCGUUAGAUCAGGUAAGACCCAAUCACCAGUAGCAAAAGGACCUGUGUUUCCCACAAGGCAAUCAACUAAACCUCUCAACCCAGUUUUCUUCCAAGACAUGUUGAAGUGAUCGAACCCAAAACUGUAGUAAGUCUUUAGCCAUGAGAUGUCCAACCAAUCAUACAUUAUCACGCCUAUACGACAUAGCUGCAAGAGAGAUAUUGGCUUCAUGCCUAUUCCAUCUUCUGUCCUGUAAUAGUAACAACAAGAUUUUGAGAUGAGAAUACACAUUUGAUUCCAAGAUCAAACAAUUAUCUCAAAAGGUAGAAACUGACCUCAUGCCAUCUAAGUAAGUCCUGGUAGUACCAUUGAAUGCUCCGGACAAUGAUGUCACACUAAGAACCCAAUUCUCAUUAGUUUCAUCAAACCCUUCAAAAGCCUAACCAUAGAAUAGAAUUUUUGGUUUAUUGAUUGUAUGUUUUAUAUUACUAUUUAGAGAGAGAAAUAAAUAUUUGGCAAAAAAUAUGUAAAAAUUGAGGAAAAUAUUAGCAAAAUUUAAUAAAAAGAACGAAAUAAUAAUGGUAAAAAUAAGAAGAUGCCGAAGAAGAUACAUAAUAUGUGUUGGUGAAGUUAAUGUGAUAAUUAUAUAUAGAUAAUUUUACAAGCAUUUGUUGUUACUAAAUAUUCAUCAGUUAUUUUUACAUCAAAUUUAUAGAAAUUUUAUGACUGAUUUUCAAACUAUUCGAAGUUAAAAAUGAUAUUUUUAAUGUUUCAGACUAUAUGACAUUGUAUACAUAAUAUUUUCAUACAAUAUUUAUAUCCGCGAAUUCGCGGACAACUGCUUGGUAACACAUUAAAGACAGGUUCACAUGUAAUAGGGAAAUCAGCCAAUUAUACUACGUUAUUACUCUGCAAAGGAGAAUCUCUAGGCCCAUAUGCAGUUAUAACGGCACAGAGAUGAUCACAUGAAAUAGUGACAGUUCUUUUUUUUUCUUUUUGUUGUCAAACUAAUUAAGCCGAAUUUUUAAAUUGAAUUUGGGUUUAUUAUUAUCGAAUUUAAGUUUUCAGCCAUAUACAGAGAUGUAAAGUUUCUAGUUCAGUUUUGUUUUGGUUUUACUCAACUCCAAAUCGGUUUGAUUUCAAUAUUUUGUUAUUUAUAUAUAGGGAAAAUAUGUUUUUAAGAGAAUUAUUUUUAUUAUAAUUUCGUUUAUUCACGGUUUUGAAGUUACUCAUAAAUUUCAGCGGAAUGUAUGUGGAUAUAGUAUUAUAAUUUAGUUUAUUCGCGGUUUUGCUAGUCAAGCAAAACAAAUUUGACUUGCCAGUUAGAUGGAUGCCAAAACAUUUUCUAAACUAAUCUAUGCAUUUACUUCAUUUAUUCUGAGAGAGUAAUAAUAUUUUUUUCCUAAAAACUUUUGUGUUUAUUCUUGUUAUCAAAGAGAUAUUAACCCACCUCCAUUCACAGAAUUGGCCCAAACUCCAAACUAGGAAAACUAAGCUCUUUGACCUAUAUGAGAGUAGCAAGUCUAGCUACGAUUGUAUUAUUGCUCAAAUGUUUUUAGCUAAAACAACCAAGUAAUAUGAAUAUUAAGAACAUGAUUUAUUGUCCAACAAACCACGUGUCUAAAGUCACAUACCAAGUGCCCACGCAUUUCAAAAUAUAUAACCAUGUGAUGUCCAAUAAUUAGCCACUUCUAUCUAUACUAUUAUUUGAAAAUUGAGUUAGCUUAUUUAUCAUGUUCUCCAUAAUUUUAAGAUAUUUUGUUUAUUUGUCAUGUUUUCAACAAUUUUAGUUCAUAAUUUUUUUAUUUAUCAUAUUUUAAUUAAUUUAAUUGAAUCAUUAGUUUAAAUAAUCGAUCUAUAUUACUAUUUAAAACUUAAAAAUCAUCAUCUAUAUAUAUUUGAUAUUAUUUUAUUUAUUGUAAACUAAAUGCAUAAUGUUUGACUUUGCCGAUUAUAUAAUAUUUGACGUUAAGUUUAUAUGGAAAAUCUGCUUUAAACUAUUACAAAAGUUUAACCAUGUUAAGGGACAUAAUGAAACCCUUGAUUUUGUCUUGGCGGAUGCUAGCGUCAGUAGAUACAUGUAUAUACAUAUUUAUGUUCAUUGAUGGACAUAAUGAAACCUUUAAUGUUGCAAUACAUAUUGAUGUUCAUUGACACUUUUAAAACCCUUGAUUUUGCAAUACGAAUUGAUAUGUUCAUUGACUCUUGAGGUUUAAUAGUUAGUUAUACUAUUAUAUUAUAAAGUUUUGAAAUAUUGAUUGUUUUCUAAUGGUACAUGAUGAGAAAAUAUAUCAGACAUUAAAAAGGACUAUUGCUGAUGGCAUUAAAAAAGGAAUUUGUUGAUGUUUUAAUAUAUCCAGUGAAUUGAAUGAAAGUGAUUGGAUGACCAUCAACAAAUUGUAUAUGGACAUGUAAGGAGAAAGUUAUAGGUUAACGCUUCAUGAUUUUAAAAUAAUGCGGAAAUCCAAUACUUCUUUUUUGCAACUUAAAUCCAAUAGUUCUUUAAAACCUAUUUAGUGAAUCAGAUUCUACUUAAGUUGCUUAAAAUAUAUUUCUCAUUCGAUGGAUAUGAGGAUAUACACAUUAGAUUAGGUUUAGCUAUAUUUUAUGCUCAAUUAUUACUUUUAAUAAUUUGUUUUAGUAAUUUAGCUGAUAAUUUAUAAUUAUCUUCAAAAUAAUUAAAAAAUUGUAACAAUAAUACCAUAGUUAAAUUUAUAUUAUAUUUACUUUAAUAAUAUUAAAAUAUUAUAUAUAUGUUUACAUUAUAUUUGGUUUAGUAAUAUUAAAUCGUUUCUAAUUUUAGUAUAUAUAUCAUAUAAGAUCGAAUGAAUUAUCUAUCUUUUAAGAUAAAUUUAUUAGGACAAUCAAAAUCACUCAUUUUGAUAUUUUUUUGACAAAAGUUGGCAAAGAUUCGAAAAUAUUUAUAUAUUUUGACGAAGUGAUUUUUUUCCUCUCACGUUGAAAGUUAAAGUUUUUAAAAUCUUCAUUACCCUUAAUAAAUAAUAAUAUUAGAUUAAUUUAUUAAUAUAUAACUACCAUAAAUUAAAAAGAUUCUAUAUUAUGCUAUUUAAAAAUACUUUACAUCGUAAUAUUUUUAAAAUAAAUAUAAAUCCAUGUAUAUAGUUUUAUAUAUAUGAAUGUUUUCAAAUUUAUUUUAUGUAAUAAAAUAUAUUUUAUUAAAAUAAAAAAACUUUAUCCUAUAUAAAAAAUUUAUAAUAUAUCUAUUUAUAAAUAUUUGUAAGAUUAUUAGGUCCGCAAGUGCGGGCAAAUCACCUAGUUUUAAUGUGAUAUAAAAAGCAAAGAAUGUAACGCAACCUUCACACAAUUGUUGUUCUUUAAAAUCAUUUUAAAGCGAGUAUACAUAGUCUUUGUUCAGUAACACACAAAAAAAACGCACCUAGUGGUAACUAUUUGAUCCAAAGCCCUUGACUUAAUCACAACAAAUAAAUAAUAUAAAAGGAGAGUUUAUAGUAAACGCAUUUUGAAUUCCUAACCAUAGACUUUAUACAGUAGAUUAUCAUCAUUUGACACGAAUAAAAGACAGGUAGAAAAAAAUCUGAUGCAUUUAUAAAAUUUAAUUGAAAUGUAUAUGUUUACACUAGUAUAGAAAAACAAGAGAGAAUAAGAAAAAUGGAUAUAUAUCUAAUAUUUAAUGAAUUGCUAAAGAAUUAAAGCUCAACGUCAAUGUAGUCAAAGCUGCUAUUUUUAGGCUAUCAACGAGGAGAGCGAGGUGCACGAGGAGAUUGAUUAGGAAGAGUCUGAGGAAUCUUUCUAAAAACAUGUUUCCUGCAACGUUGGAAGAUACUGUCGUAUAUUAGAUCAAACUGCACUCCAGCUCUCUCUCUAUUCACUAUGAACGUUAUGUGAUCUGCUUCCACUAUCUUAUAGUACCUGAAAUAACCAAAACAAAAGGUUCCCAUUCAAUUUCCACUGUAUUAUGUAACAUGUUAUAAUAUGACUAGCUCACCAUAUUCCAGGUUGUAACGUUUGGCACUCAGAGUCGCUUCUUAUGAACCGGCUUGGAUGCUCCACUGGUAGCCUCGGAUGCGUCAUUGAUAUUGUGUUCAUUGCCCCAUCGUUCUCUUGCCAUUCCUCAUCCCUUCAUAUCGAAACAUUUUAUCUUCUCUUAGAACAGUUUAUCUACUUUGCAGUGUUUAAGCAAAGCGAAAACAGAGGAAAACACAGGAAAACAGAGCAAAACAGAGGAAAAACAGAGGAAAACAGAGGAUUGAUCAAGAACUUCAAGAAUGAAUGUUAAAGUUUGAAUCAUUUUUGAGUCUUGUUGUAUUUUUACCUGUAGCCUUUAUAGGGAGGAGAAACAUCUUGCGGGAACCUCCAUUGGCUCAUCUGAAAGACGCGGAGGAAGAGCAUAGGGUGGAUGCCAAGAACACCUGAAGGAAUAGUCAUGCCCAUGAUUCUGCGGGUGCGCUUAGUCGCAUAGCUGAAGUAGUAAGUGUUUGGGAACGUCUGGAGAUUGGAGUUGAGACUUGUGGAGCCUUGGAUCGUUAGAUCAGGUAAGACCCAAUCACCAGUAGCAAAAGGACCUGUGUUUCCCACAAGGCAAUCAACUAAACCUCUCAACCCAGUUUUCUUCCAAGACAUGUUGAAGUGAUCGAACCCAAAACUGUAGUAAGUCUUUAGCCAUGAGAUGUCCAACCAAUCA
rnacentral:lncRNA from 1 species